rnacentral:snRNA from 1 species
CGUCACACGGAAUCGAGAGCUCCA